ensembl:lncRNA
GUUGAUCCAAUGUAAUCACACCAGAAUCUUUAUUCUAGCUUGUUCAAGCUUACCUCACCUCCACCCUGCAGGACAGUUCUGGUAGAGGAAAAAAUACCUGAACAUUCAUUGAAGACAAGAUAUUAUAGAAAGCAUCAAGCGAAGGUUGGACUCACUGUAUUGGUUCACAUGGGCUUGAUCCCACAAGCACUGUUUUUAUGCACAAGAUCACUGGAUUUGUGUACCCAGCAACCAGUCCCCAGCCCCAGAUUGUGGAUUCCAACACCCUAGGAGCCUAAUGCACAAGGGCUGGGAAGACUUGGAGAUCACACUUUCAGUUCCACAGAUGAAUGGCACUGAAUACAUAGAAAAUUCAAACUGAGGACCUAAUGAUGAAAGGAAUCUUGGCAACUUGGGCAGAAAAGCCCCAAACUCUUCUCCACUCAACAGGUCUUAAGAGUUUCAGAAGUGCAGAAGCAUUUAGUUUUGAUGUUGACAACGUUGAUUUGAUCUCACUUUCAAAGAUGCUACGUAUGUUCAUGGCUCUAUCCCAAUUAACUGUGAGUGCAAAAAAGUAAUAAAUGUGAAAUAUUUUUAUAA